rnacentral:misc_RNA from 1 species
UCCGGUUUGACACCGGCAGUCUCCCUAGAGUGCCCGGCAUAACCCGCUGGUAACUAGGGACGAGGGUUGCGCUCGUUGCGGGACUUAACCCAACAUCUCACGACACGAGCUGACGACAGCCAUGCAGCACCUGUGUAGGCUGGUAUUGCUACCUCGUCACCCUUUCAGGCUUCUACUACCUACAUGUCAAGGCCAGGUAAGGUUCUUCGCGUUGCAUCGAAUUGAGCCACAUACUCCACCGCUUGUGCAGGCCCCCGUCAAUUCCUUUGAGUUUUAGCCUUGCGGCCGUACUCCCCAGGCGGGGCACUUAGUGCGUUAGCUACGGCACGGAACCCGUUGAUAAGGCCCCACACCUAGUGCCCAACGUUUACGGCGUGGACUAC